rnacentral:rRNA from 1 species
CCUACGGAGGCUGCAGUGGGGAAUAUUGGACAAUGGGCGAAAGCCUGAUCCAGCCAUGCCGCGUGUGUGAAGAAGGCCUUCGGGUUGUAAAGCACUUUCAGUGGGGAAGAAAGCCUUGGGGCUAAUACCCUCGAGGAAGGACAUCACCCACAGAAGAAGCACCGGCUAACUCCGUGCCAGCAGCCGCGGUAAUACGGAGGGUGCGAGCGUUAAUCGGAAUUACUGGGCGUAAAGCGCGCGUAGGCGGUCUGAUAAGCCGGUUGUGAAAGCCCCGGGCUCAACCUGGGAACGGCAUCCGGAACUGUCAGGCUAGAGUGCAGGAGAGGAAGGUAGAAUUCCCGGUGUAGCGGUGAAAUGCGUAGAGAUCGGGAGGAAUACCAGUGGCGAAGGCGGCCUUCUGGACUGACACUGACGCUGAGGUGCGGAAGCGUGGGUAGCAAACAGGAUUAGAUACCCCAGUAGUC